rnacentral:rRNA from 1 species
CCAAUAGCGUAUAUUAAAGUUGUUGCAGUUAAAAAGCUCGUAGUUGAAUUUCGGGAUCAAUAUGUCUGUCGUGCCUUUGGUACGUACGGGUAUAAUUGGUUUCUACCUUCUGAUGAACCUUGAUGCCAUUAAUUUGGUGUCUUGGGGACUCAGGACUGUUACCUUGAAAAAAUUAGAGUGUUUAAAGCAGGCAUACGCUUGAAUACAUUAGCAUGGAAUAAUGAAAUAGGACGUUCGAUUCUAUUUUGUUGGUUUCUAGGAUCGACGUAAUGAUUAAUAGGGAUAGUUGGGGGCAUUAGUAUUCAAUUGUCAGAGGUGAAAUUCUUGGAUUUAUUGAAGACUAACUACUGCGAAAGCAUUUGCCAAGGAUGUUUUCAUUAAUCAAGAACGAAAGUUAGGGGAUCGAAGACGAUCAGAUACCGUCGUAGUCUUAACCAUAAACUAUGCCGACUAGGGAUCGGAUGAUGUUAAUUUUUUAAUGACUCAUUCGGCGCCUUACG